AGCUUGUUCUCUGAUAGGUUGAAGUCUUUUCUAGACCAGAAAAAGAAGAAUGAAAGGGAUAUUUCUACCAUCAGAAUAGACAGGGAUAUUGGCAUAGAUGAUGUAGAAUCUAGUGCUCGCCCUCACAAAAUAAAGAGGAAAAAGCUUGAUUCGGAAAAGUCUAUCGAAAUUCUUUUUACGACUGACGUACAGAUGGGUUCAGGUGGUGGAAAAAAGGUUAGAAAACCGAUAUGACUUCAGGAUUUUAUUAGUGGUGUAGAUGCCCAAUCUGUUUGGGGUGACCAUUUUCCUUUCAUGGAAUUAGCUAACAAGGUCACUCAAUAUCUAGAUGAUGUACGGUUUUUUAAGAAUGUAGGAAAAGAGGUUAUGGGACAGUAUAUGCAGGUGAUUGGCACGAGGAUACUUUGUAUGGGUCGGACAAGGAAACUACUGGGGGCCAAAGAGAGAAAAGAGUUAGAGAAGAUACCAAAUUUAGAGAGGUCGUUGAAAGAAAUAUACGUGAUUAUUGUUGAUGUGACAACAAAAAUGAAGAGCAAAGAAGAGGAAGUGCUAAGGUUGCAGGGUCAAAUCUGCGAUUUGCAGAAUCAAAUAUAGGAAGCUGAUAACGAGAAAGGGAAGAUGACGUUGAGGAUCCAUGAGCUUGAAAAUGAAGUGUUGGAGAUGUUCUCGGUUGGAUUUGAUCGUGCUGUAAGUCAAGUUGUUGCCUUAUCCUCCGAUUUUGAGGUCGACAAUCUUGAUGUUACUAAGAUUGUAGUGAAUGGCAAACUCGUAGAUGAUGAGGCCAGGGGGAAGCUGAAGAUGAAAGAAUGAAAGCGUGGCAGCUGUUGAUAAGA